rnacentral:rRNA from 1 species
UACGGGGGGGGCAAGCGUUGUUCGGAAUUACUGGGCGUAAAGGGUUCGUAGGUGGCUGGCUAAGUCAGACGUGAAAUCCCUCAGCUCAACUGGGGAACUGCGUCUGAGACUGGUCAGCUUGAGUGCAGGAGAGGAACGCGGAAUUCCCAAUGUAGCGGUGAAAUGCGUAGAUAUUGGGAGGAACACCAGUGGCGAAGGCGGCUACCUGGACCGGUUCUGACGCUGAGGCGCGAAAGCGUGGGUAGCAAACAGG